AGUGAAGAAAAGGGCUCUUCUUGUGCUCUUAACUCUGCUCCAUUUCUGAAGAAAAGCUGCAGCAAUUCCUCUUGUCUAUGUAUAAAGCGAGGCUAAUUGGUCAAAAAAAAAUCACACUGGUUCUACUAGGCUUAUAACUUUGGCAUUGCACAGAGGCAAGAAGCCUAAUUCUAAAUUAAAAAGCACACAUAUUUAGACUUCUCUCCUUUCAAAUUCAAGGAGCUGCAUAAAUAAACGUUUGGAUGACCACUAUCAGAACAUACUAAUUAUUUAGGACCCCGCUUCUCUGCAACUCUCCCUUUCAGCAUAACUCUUAAAAGGACACUAAUUCUGUUGGAUGAGGGCCCCACCCUUAUAGCCUCAUUCUCAAGACUGGCAGAAAAAUAACCUCAGAAACUGGUCCCAAAUUGGUAACUGAAGAUAAGUUGGAUUCAGGCUAAACCUGUGAUAUUUUGCAGCCUUGGAGCUGUUUUUUGAGAUGGAGUCUCGCUCUGUCUCCCAGGUUGGAGUACAGUGGCGCAAUCUUGGCUCGCUGCAACCUCUGCCUCUCGGGUUCAAGCCAUUCUGCUUCCUCAGCCUCCCAAGUAACUGGGAUUACAGGUGCACACCACCACACUCAGUUAAUUUUUGUAUUUUUAGUAGAGAUGAGGUUUUGCCAUGUUGGCCAGGCUGGUCUUGAACUUUUGACCUCAGGUGAUCCACCUUGCAGCUUGUAAUCACACCAUUUCUCUCCUUGUGCAGGGCAUCUGCUUAACUUUUUACAUCUGUUGCCUUAGUUCCCACUCCCUCUCCCAGGUGGCGAUUAACUACUAUCUCUUAUAACCAUGUCUUAUCCUUCUUCCCACAGGGCCCCAGCAAUGCAGAGAGACUUGCCCUGUAAAGGAGGACAGAGAGUUACUGAGACAGAAUGACAGAAGCUAAAACUCACAGCUGGGUGGCCUUUCGUGACUUGGGGGAUAGUUGGCCAUCAGAAAUUGGGGUAAGAAGGAAACACAUCUGGCACUGUGCUCUGCAUGUGAUGGGUACCCCAAAUACAAAUUAAAUUCAAUUAAAUAAAAGAAUAUUGGACAAGGUAUCAGGAGGCCUGCCCCAC
rnacentral:lncRNA from 10 species